rnacentral:rRNA from 1 species
UACAGAGGUCUCGAGCGUUGUUCGGAUUCAUUGGGCGUAAAGGGUGCGUAGGUGGCGCUGUAAGUCGGGUGUGAAAUCCUGAGGCUUAACCUCGGAACUGCAUUCGAUACUGCGGCGCUUGAGGACUGGAGAGGAGACUGGAAUUCCAGGUGUAGCGGUGAAAUGCGUAGAUAUCCGGAGGAACACCGGUGGCGAAGGCGGCUUCCUGGACCGACACUGACGCUGAGGCGCGAAAGCUAGGGGAGCAAACGGG